rnacentral:lncRNA from 1 species
UUUGAAGUGUGUCUAACUUCAAAUCAACCAGAGUUCGACUCUUACCAUUGUCAUGUCUCCAUAUAUUUGACAUUUAUCAAGCGGGUUAGCCUAUUGGGCUAAUCAUGAGUUUAACCCAACAAUUCCGACUCUGAAGCGGUUCGGCGGUCUAAAGGUCGGGUCGGCAGAUGCGGGUCGGUAGUCCAAAAGUCGGCUGGCGGGUGCGGUCGAAAAUAAGUCAUGUAUUGGCAACAAUAAAUAUGUUGCAACGAAAUACAAUUUUGUUCUGAAGCGGUUCGGCGGUCUAAAGGUCGGGUCCGCAAAUGCGGGUUGGCGGUCCAAAGGUCGGGUCGGCAGAUGCGGGUCGGUAGUCCAAAAGUCGGCUGGCGGGUGCGGUCGAAAAUAAGUCAUGUAUUGG